GGGCGUAUGUGAUAAUUGGUUAGUCGGCUAGUCUUGAAAACUAGUGGGUGUAACAGCCUUAAGAGUUCGAGUCUCUUUGCGCCCG
rnacentral:tRNA from 1 species